AGUCUAGCAUGUGCGCGAGUCAUUGGGCGCGACACACCCAAAGGCGCAAUCAAUGUGAAGGCCCGCCUCGCGCGGGCCGAGGGGGGACGGGCGGCCUCUCGGGGUCGCCCCGCACCCCCGGGGCGUCUCACUCUCAUCGCGAGAGGAGGCGCACCGAGAGCGCAUACGCUGGGACCCGAAAGAUGGUGAACUAUGCCUGGUCAGGACGAAGUCAGGGGAAACCCUGAUGGAGGUCCGUAGCGAUUCUGACGUGCAAAUCGAUCGUCGGAACUGGGUAUAGGGGCGAAAGACCGAUCGAACCAUCUAGUAGCUGGUUCCCUCCGAAGUUUCCCUCAGGAUAGCUGGCGCUCGUCGUCACGAGUCUCAUCCGGUAAAGCGAAUGAUUAGAGGCAUUGGGGUCGAAACGACCUCAACCUAUUCUCAAACUUUAAAUGGGUGAGAUCUCCGGCCUGCUCGAACAUGAGGCCGCGAGAACACACGGAUCAGAGUGCCAAGUGGGCCAUUUUUGGUAAGCAGAACUGGCGCUGUGGGAUGAACCAAACGCCGAGCUAAAGCGCCCAAAUCGACGCUCAUGGGAUACCAUGAAAGGCGUUGGUAACUUAAGACAGCAGGACGGUGGCCAUGGAAGUCGGAAUCCGCUAAGGAGUGUGUAACAACUCACCUGCCGAAGUUACUAGCCCUGAAAAUGGAUGGCGCUGAAGCGUCGUGCUUAUGCUCGGCCGUCGGCGGCAUGUGCGGCCGCGCCUCGGCGCGGCCAUGAGGCCCCGACGAGUAGGAGGGUCGCGGCGGUGAGCGCAGAAGGGCUGGCCGCGAGGCCGUCUGGAGCCGCCGUCGGCGCAGAUCUUGGUGGUAGUAGCAAAUACUCCAGCGAGGCCCUGGAGGACUGACGUGGAGAAGGGUUUCGUGUGAACAGCCGUUGCACACGAGUCAGUCGAUCCUAAGCCCUAGGCGAAAGCCGAUGUUGAUGCGGCGUCGUACACAGCAGUGCGCGCGCGCCCGUCGGGCGAAAGGGAAUCCGGUUCCUAUUCCGGAACCCGGCAGCGGAACCGUCACCGAUUCGGGCCCUCGAAAGAGAGUUCGUCGGGGCAACCCAAAAGGACCCGGAGACGCCGUCGGGAGAUCCGGGAAGAGUUUUCUUUUCUGCAUGAGCGUUCGAGUUCCAUGGAAUCCUCUAGCAGGGAGAUAUGGUUUGGAACGCGAAGAGCACCGCAGUUGCGGCGGUGUCCGGAUCUUCCCCUCGGACCUUGAAAAUCCGGGAGAGGGCCACGUGGAGGCGUCGCGCCGGUUCGUACCCAUAUCCGCAGCAGGUCUCCAAGGU
rnacentral:rRNA from 1 species